rnacentral:lncRNA from 1 species
AGAGUUUGGAGUAUCUGGAAGAUUUGAAGAGAGAAUUCAUUCGGCUCUGCAAUUCCUUCAGAGUUUUUAAUUCUUUCCCUUGUUUACUUUGAAUUUAUUUUUUAGAACUCAUUGUUAGGAUGAUUUUGGAGUUUUAUUCAAGUAUACUUGAGUUUGAUUUUGAUAUGAUGAAAAGCUAAAUUUCUAGCUAGGGUACCUGAUGUAGCUUGGAUUCAAUUUCAAUUCCAGAAUCUUGUAUUAAUUUUCU